rnacentral:lncRNA from 1 species
AUCUAGUAAGACUCUGAUAGUAGGAAAUUCUAAUAGCUCUGUGCCUUGAUACUUCUCUUCAAUGACAUUCUUGGAUUGUUAUUAUCGUCUUGAGUUUUAAAUUCUAUUUUGCAGACUGCCUGAAUCCUGUUUUCUGUAUUCAUUUGAUUUUGUUUUCCCCUUACUCGGUCAGAGCAUUUGUAUUUCAUCUUUAUCACAACUGCAAUUUGAUGCGAGACUUCAUCCAUCCCUUCAAUAUUCCUCGAUAAUUAGUCCUGUCUAUGCUUUGCCCUCUUGUCAUCUUGUCUGAACAUCAUAUUCUGAAGAUGGCUGGUGAGCUAAAAUUGUUAUGGGAACUGUUACAGAUUAUACCAGCUAUGGUAGAGCUUUAAUCAUGUAUUCGAUUUUCAUUGAUAAUAAGAGUAAUCAUAUGUUACCCAACCUACAUUACAUUUAGCGUUUGUGUAGAUAAGUUUUGU